UCCAAAUGCUCUCUCUCUCUCUCUCUCUCUCUCUCUUUACACUACAACUUAUGUAUAGCUUUUUUAAAACGCCGUUCAGGAACUGUUGAGGAAUUUGAUUCCCUCGAGAAAUAUCCUUCGAGGAUUAUAGCUUAAAGCCACUGAGUUCUCUUCUCCUCUCUAAUCUGGCAGCCAAAUUUGUAUAGUUCCAGAUCUUCGUAUUUGCAUCACCUUGGGUACGUACGAGAAUUACAAGUUGAAGGAAGAACAUACAUGGGGCAUCAUCAGCAUCCUGUUCAUUAUCAAUCCUAUCGCCGACAUCAUGAUGAUGGAGGCAGCACAGAUGAUGACCCAUUUUUGACGAGUUGCUGCUGCCCAUGCUUCCUAGUCUGUUCGUUUUUCAGGGGCAUUAGAAGAUGCAUUUUUGUGGCGUGUUACCCUGUCUUCUUCAAGUGCUUUGGAUGGGAUGACUAAGGACACCAAUACCAUCACCACAACCACAGGCAUUUCAUGUAAAAUCCCAUUUGCUUAAUAAUUAUUUGGAUCAGGAUGUGUACUUCUCCAAUGGCUUGGAAAUUUUAUUGAAUAAAUCAAGAUUUGUUAUGAAA